CGGACGGGUGAGUAAUGUCUGGGAACGUGCCUGAUGGAGGGGGAUAACUACUGGAAACGGUAGCUAAUACCGCAUAACGUCGCAAGACCAAAGAGGGGGACCGUUCGGGCCUCUUGCCAUCGGAUGUGCCCAGAUGGGAUUAGCUAGUAGGUGGGGUAACGGCUCACCUAGGCGACGAUCCCUAGCUGGUCUGAGAGGAUGACCAGCCACACUGGAACUGAGACACGGUCCAG
rnacentral:rRNA from 1 species